AAAAAACAGCCAUCCAACCUCCCUGACCUUUCAGUCCUAUUCACCCGAGGGAAGGCACCCGCCUCUGUUGAUCCCACAUUCCCCUACACCACCCUGCUGCAUCCCCUUGCCUCUUCCAGGCCCUCUUUUUGACCUCUCUUUUUCCCUCCUCAACCUCCAUCCCUGCCUGACAUUAGGAAGAGGAGCAGCCCUGCCUACGCAGCUUCAGGCUCCUCCGUAGCUCCUACGGCAGACAGCAAUCUGCAUCCGAGGGGUUUUGUUGCUCCCGAGCCUGUGGGAAGGAUACUCUGCACAGCUGCGGACUGCCCAGGACUCAGCACCACUCCAGCAGCGAUAAAUCCCAAACCAGAGGGCAAUUUGUCCUUUUUUAACUAGUGCAGGUGCCUUCAGAGGGAUUAAACUGGCCUCGUGGAAACUGGACCCCCUCCAGCCUGGGAGCGCUGUGGCCAUGCUAGAAGUCCCCUCGCAUCACACCAACCAGUGGGGAUGAACACGAGGUACCGCUUCUGCAAACUUUUGGUUUACCCUGCCUGUUUCCAGCACUCUGGGAUUUCUCUGCUCUCCUUCCCCAGCACCCCAGCCAAAGUGGCUGCUGCCUCAAGGCCACCUGCGCCCGGGCCGGGCCCUGCCGCUGAGAGGUGACACGGCAUGUCCUCAUGUCCUCACCCUCCUCGUGCCACAGCUGCAUCCUCCUGAAUAACCUGCGAUCUGUCCCUGCGCGGCACCAGGUGCUCUCCAGCAUCGUGUCCCUGGGGGGACGCUACCACAGCACCCUAGAAUCAGGUUUUCAUGCAGCUCCCAAGGCAGUUGGCAGUGGAGGGGGGGGGGAAGGGGGGGGCA